AAGCAGUUACAUGACUGGCGGAUAAAAUGUGGAGUACCACAAAGGAUUGUAACUGUUGCUAAGCCGACCGCCUGGGCAAUAACA
rnacentral:ncRNA from 2 species